AUAUUUUAUUAUGCUGGGAGGGCAUAUCCGCCGAAUUUAAGCAUAUAAUUAAGCGGAAGAAAAGAAAAUAACAAUGAUUCCUUUAGUAACGGCGAGUGAACAAGGAAAAGCUCAAAAGGAAAAUCCGCUUUGUGGUUAAAACCGCAGUGUGGAAUUGUCUGGUUGGGAUUUAGUCCUUUCUAUGUUUUUGUUGGGUGCGAAAUUAGUAGGAAUACUAUUCCUUAGAGGGUGAAAGGCCCGUAGUUCCUAACAAUUAUAGAUGGACUGUUUCCUGUAGAGUCGUGUUCUUUGAGAUUGGAGCACAAAUGUGUGUGAUACAUUUCACAUAAAGCUAAAUAUUUGUAGGAGACCGAUAGCAAACAAGUACCGUGAGGGAAAGAUGAAAUAGUACUCAGGAAUGAGGUUUAAAUAGUACCUGAAAUCGUUAAGAUGGAACGGAUUGAGAGAGAAAUAACGUAAGAUGGGAUUUAUUUCUAUGUUUCUUUUGGAUUCAUGUUUUAAUUUCUAUCUUAUUAAAAGGAGCAUCAGUGAAUUUUUGCAUUUGCAUUAUAGUUAAAGGGUUAUUUUUGCUUAUGUAAAGAUAUCGCAUUUCCUUCCGCUAAUAUGGUUGGAAAAAUAACUAUUAUUGCUUGCUAUGUUUACUGAGGAUAUCAAUUAGCUGGGGUUGCCCCUGUUAAUUUAUGUUGCUUCUAAAAAGUACUUUCUUAACCCACUCGUCUUGAAACACGGACCAAGGAGUCUAACAAAUGUGCGAGCGUAUAUAUGUUACGAACUAUAACAGAGAAUGAAAAUUCUUAUAUUUACGCGUAAUUAAUGUAAUUAAUUGGUAGAUCUUUAGGGUGUUUCCCUAAUUUGCAUACCAUGCCGGUUGGCGAUUAUGCUUAAUUGAGUAUGAGUAUAUUUGUUAGGACCCGAGAGGCUUUGAACUAAGCGUGAUGAGAUUGAAGUCAGACGAAAGUCUGAUGGAGGAUCGAAUUGAUACUGACGUGCAAAUCGUUCAUUUCAAUCACGUUUAGGGGCGAAAGACUAAUCGAAAAGCCUAUUAGCUGGUUAUUUUCGAAAGAUCUCUCAGGAUCGCUGGAGUUGAUUAAUAUAGUUUUACGAGGUAGAGAUAAUGAUUAGAGGAAUCAGGGAAAUCGUUUUCCUUGACCUAUUCUCAAACUCCCAAUACGUAAUAAGGGAUUAAUAUCUUUAUUGUAUUUUUCCCACUAUAAAUAAGAUAACUCCAAGUGGGCCAUUUUUGGUAAGCAGAACUGGCGAUGAGGGAUGCUCCUAACGCUUGGAUAAGGUGCCUAAAUAUUCGCUCAUGAGAUCCCAUAAAAGGUGUUGGUUCAUAAUGACAGUAGGACGGUGGUCAUGGAAGUCCAAAUUCCCUUAA
rnacentral:rRNA from 1 species